UACAGAGGUGGCAAGCGUUGUUCGGAAUUACUGGGCGUAAAGGGCGCGUAGGCGGUCCGAUAAGUCCCGUGUGAAAGCCCCCGGCUCAACUGGGGAACUGCACGGGAAACUGACGGACUUGAGUUCGGAAGAGGAGUGUGGAAUUCCUGGUGUAGCGGUGAAAUGCGCAGAUAUCAGGAGGAACACCAAUGGCGAAGGCAGCACUCUGGGACGUGACUGACGCUGAGACGCGAAAGCGUGGGGAGCAAACAGG
rnacentral:rRNA from 1 species